GGUGGUGGCUCAGUGGUAGAGCACUUGCCUUGCAUGAGUGAGGCCCUGGGUUCAAUCCUCAGCAGCA
rnacentral:tRNA from 1 species